rnacentral:rRNA from 1 species
GACGAACGCUGGCGGCGUGCUUAACACAUGCAAGUCGAACGGGAACCUUUAUUUCGGUAAAGGUGAGAGUGGCAAACGGGUGAGUAACACGUAGGCAACCUGCCGACAGGAUGGGGACAACAUUCCGAAAGGAAUGCUAAUACCGAAUGGAGUCCGAGGAUGGCAUCAUCCACGGAUAAAAGAUGGCCUCUUAACAAUGCUAUCGCCUGUCGAUGGGCCUGCGUCUGAUUAGCCAGUUGGCGGGGUAACGGCCCACCAAAGCGACGAUCAGUAGCCGGUCUGAGAGGAUGAACGGCCACAUUGGGACUGAGACACGGCCCAGACUCCUACGGGAGGCAGCAGUGGGGAAUCUUCCACAAUGGGCGAAAGCCUGAUGGAGCAACGCCGCGUGAGUGAAGAAGGUCUUCGGAUCGUAAAGCUCUGUUGCACGGGACGAAAACCGAGUUUGAGAAUAUUGAACUUGGGUGACGGUACCGAGCGAGGAAGCCACGGCUAACUACGUGCCAGCCGCCGCCGUAACAC